GUUCUUUCUCCCACUUUUUUCAGAGUCUACAUAAAGCAAAGUCUACACUCUUCAUAACUUUUCUUUCUUUCCUUCUUUGUUCUCAUCUAAUUUACUUAUUUAUUACUUGAAAGAGAACUUAGAAGGCAUCAGUGAAGAGUUCUCUUAAUUUCCUAAACUUCCCUAUAAAAUAUUCUUUCAGGUCCUGCAUACCAGUAAAACUACUGAUGCUAGCUGUUGCCUAGGACCCCAUGAGGAGGUGACUCAACAAAGAAGGCAGUUUUCAGAUCCUGAUGAUUUCAUCCCCCUAACCCUGACCAAUCAACAACCACAAUUUUCUGGACCUACACCUUUCACAAUUCUUUUACAAAAUGCCGCCCAUAACUUCUUUGGGAGACAGACUUGUGGGUCCUUUCCAUCCCCUUACUUGGCUGUCAUAUGAUCAAUAAAUGUUUUCUCUGCUGCGAACACUGUUGUCUCAGUGCAUUUGUCUGUUACUUCACAGCAGGUAUAUAAAUUUGUUAAUCCUCUAACAAUAUCAUUGUGCUGAAUAUAAUUCAGUUUGAUACUCAAGCAAUUAUUAAACAACAUUUUAAAAGGCUUUCCUAAAUAUUUUCACAACUUACUUAAAUUAUCAAAUGGCUAAUAAAAAUAGUCUAUACAAUUUUAU
rnacentral:lncRNA from 10 species